CCCCUCUCAGGACUGCACCUGGAGAGUUUCCAGUUCUCUACCAGUCUCGGCUACGGGAGGGAGAGUCAAGCAGAGGCAUACUCACUCCACUCCUAGCUUGGGCAGUGGCUAGUGAGUGGAAGGCAAUCUGCUACACGU
rfam:Ornithorhynchus anatinus chromosome X5, whole genome shotgun sequence.